GCACGAAGAAUAGUUAGAAGCAGUCGAAACAAUGCUUCAGUGAAACAUUUCUUGGAGUUUUGCUAAAGCAAAUUCAGACUUGAAUAUUCUUCUGGUAAACACCAAAUGGUCACCAAGUCCGACUGAGAAAGUACGAACAAAUGUUGGUGUUUUAGGUCGAAUUGAUUCGCAUAAGUUAUAAAGUGGUUAUGGUUCUCGAUGGAGUGAUUACUAUUCCUAUGAGGCUGAGCAACACAUAAAAACGAACAAUUUUUGCUUCGCAGCUGUAAAGUUAUGUAACUUUGGUGAAAAUCCAACUUCCGUUGAGCUGCUUGCACAGUUUAAUAAAAUGUUCAAAAAACUUUCUAAACAAAAAUCAUCAAGAAGUUGAAGAAGUUGAGAAACGCGUUUUCUCUUCCUCCACAUUGUCUACAUGACAAUUUACAAAAGAAAACACAAAAUACUGCUCUUGAACAAAGCUUGUAUCAAAAUAACUCGUGUAUUCAUGGACAAGUCACUAAUUUGUUCUAAUGGCUGGUUUGAAACAUUUUUCCUGAGCAUUUUUCUGGCUAAGAUUACGAUUGCUGCCUUGACCAAUCGAUUUCAAAGACAAGAAAAUCUAUCACGAUGAAUGAAAUCACGCCAUUAUCGAACGCCCAAAUUUCGACAAUAUUUGAUUUUAAAUUUUUCGGCGUAAAAACAUGGAACUUUCUUCGCGUGAAAAUAUAAAACUUGAGAAUCCUAAUUUUCCGACUGGCUGUCAACAUUUCCUGUCUUAUGCCGUAUGCGACAUGCACAUUUGCAAGAAAUGGCCAAUCUUGCUCCUGUGCUUGCCGUCGUCGACAUGAAACACGGGAGUGUUCAUCAGGUAGCCUGAAAG